rnacentral:sRNA from 1 species
AACUUUAACUUUAAAUAACUCUCAAUUUUAUCGGAUUUUUUAUGCUAUACGGAGGGAACGGAGGGAUUUUUUGACAGAUGUGAAACGCCGAUUCACACCAUCCACCAGCUGAUGAGCAUAAAACUACAAAGUUUAGGUUUAAAUUGUGAAAAUUACACUUUUUUUAAUUAGUUAAUUGGAUAUAUUAUUGGCUAUAAUACAAUUCAUUUAUGUACAAUGAACGUUACUUUUUGGACGUCCUUAAAAAUUACAGCAGCUCUGUUUGGAAGUUGGUUUGGCCUUGGCUGCUUGGAGGAACACAAAAGCACUGUGAAACACUAUACUGCGCGAAGUGGUCCUAUAAUUAUAAUCGAGGCUGUAAUAUUGCUGUCUUUCCUGUUGAACGAAGCUAAACAAAUGUAUAAACGAAUUUUGUUGUUCAAAGAGGGCCUGGAGAACUGAAUGUCAGUCUGUUUUACAUAUCAAAUCUCAUAUUAGACAGCAUAUCAACAAACCUACAGCUCCAAAAAAAUCUCGACAGAAAAUAAUUCGUACCGUACCAAAAUACUAAGAAAAAACGAAUACACGCAAUAUUUCAUGUAAAUAUUCGCUGAGAUGAUAUGCUGGAAAUAGUU